rnacentral:rRNA from 1 species
UACGUAGGGGCCUAGCGUUGUCCGGAUUUAUUGGGCGUAAAGAGCGUGUAGGCGGCUUUACAGGUCCGUUGUGAAAACUCGAGGCUUAACCUCGAGCUGUCGGCGGAAGCCAUCUGGCUAGAGUCCGGAAGAGGAGAAUGGAAUUCCCGGUGUAGCGGUGAAAUGCGCAGAUAUCGGGAAGAACACCCGUGGCGAAGGCGGUCUCUGGGACGGUACUGACGCUGAGACGCGAAAGCGUGGGGAGCGAACAGG